UAUAAUAACGUAUUUGAAAUACGUAUAAUUUAUUGAUAAGUCAGAUAGUUAAGUCAGAUUGUGUAUUCUUUGGGAAAGUACAAAUUCUCAAAAGCGGAGAAACGGUUCCCUUCAAAUCGAUUGAGAAUUAAUCCGACUGCUAUCACGUUUCGCAAACGUCACUCCAUUGUCUCAUUGUCCAUUGGAGUGAGAGAUAGCGAUGGAGCGGUAGAGAACGAGAGAUGACUUUCCUUCGUUCCUAUCUUGCCUCCUUUUGAGAUCCCGUCUCGAUCCUAUUGGAGGCCAGGGGGAUUCUCUGUUCUUCUAUAGCCAACUAAUGCUACUGGACGAGAGAAUUGAAACUAUGACCUGUAUCCGACUCAUUUCACCGAUUGCUUUUAUCACUUUUUCUAUAUUUAUUAAACUUUUCUGUAUCAUUCAAAGUUUCGAUCGAAAGAAUGCAUAUAAAAUGUGUAGUAAAAUGAGAAAAAAAAGACGCAACAAAAAAAUGUCUUCUACGAGUAAGUCCCUGUAUUUUUUUAUAUUAUAUAAAUGAUUAUCUCAUAGUUUCUUUGUAUUCUAUAUAACAAAAAAUUAAAUAUAAACUUUGUCUUUGUAGAUCUCGAUUAUGAAAUGGCUUCUUGAUUGAAUUCUCGUUUGCCUGCCUCUCGUUCCUCGGUUCGAUCGGCUGUUAUCAGUAAAACAUUAAACGGACAAAGAACAGAACAUGGCUACAGACUAUAUAGAUCAGAUAGAUCGUUCCCGAUGAUCAGGGUACAUGGAGAUUCCUCGGAUAUAUCCGCGUCGCUGAAAAAGGGCGUCAUGCAUGGCUCGCACUAGGGUGUCAUCUGCACCCUCCACAACAUGACCAGUUCUGUAGACGAUCUUCACGGUCAAUAUAACGGAUGUCGUAAAAUCAAUUAGUGGCGAAUUGUGCCGCAGCCCGGAUCGUGUGCACUGUACAUGCAGCUCAUAAAAUUCUCCCCCCUUUUUUUUUUUGUGAUCUUUUUGAAUUACUCUGUGCAUCGGUUCCAGUCGAUGAUCAUUUCUUAUCAAAGUAUAUAUACAGUUUUUAAAACUUAUCUAUGAUAUUAUACAUGUUAAAUUUAAUACUUUGUUAAAUUUCUCAUUUGCAAUAGAAAUAUGAUAUUAUUUCUGUGAGUCGCUUUUAUAUCAUUCCGACAAUAGCUUAGUUAAUAUUGACUUUUGAAUGGUCCAAUCUUUAGAAAGAGAGCCUUUCCUUUUAGCGUGUUUCAGCAUGCAGUAAAUAUUAUCAGGUAGAUACUGUUACGGAUGUUUCCCGUUGAAUUGAUGAGAUUGUCAGUUCAUUUUUUUUUUCUUUGCCUUUCUUUCAUUUUCCUUCUUUCUUUCUUUCUUCCAGGAAUACCAUCCCCGCAUAGAGAGUCCAACGACAUUCUGACAAAUCUUUGGGGUCGACGUCGUAACCGAUUGAAAGAAUUUUCCGUGACGACUCGUUCAUUGUGCGUGUUUACUAGCUAAGCGAUUUUCUCGUUGUAGAAAGGUGGUCGAAAUAUCUUUCAGAGAUACAAUGGAAAAAACUUGUAACAUUGAAAAUCAUGGAAUCAAAAGAUUUUUAGGGAGGGAAAUUUAUUUGUGUUAUUCACAGAGAUUGCAGUAGCAGCAACGAUUUAGAUCUCGGUAAAUUGUACAAGUUUUUAUCAUCCGAGAGACGUAUAUCUAUGAAAAAGAGAAAUAGUCCACGUAAAACUUUAACGUCCUUUGUGCGAACGUCACCCGUUACAACGCAACGUUGCUUUGGCUAAGAGCCGGUAAAAGUCGAAAUGAAGGAAGUUCUCCUCUGAAUUCUAUUUCCUUCGUCAAGCGGUUUGCAGCCUUGCCUAUCUGUUUUCUCUUCGCUUCUCACCCCUCUAUCUUUUCUCUUCCUCACAGCCUUCCUUACUACCCAGAUAAUUUAACCAUUUCCAGCAAUAAAUCAAGUAAUUUUCAUUUAUAAUUACAAGCACGGUGAUUUUAUGUAACCUUUGCAAAUUAUUUCUUCUAAAUUGUUUCAUCAACGUACAAUCAACUUAUUAACUUCUUAAUAAUUGUAAUCACAGUUUAAGACACUUUCUGCUUAUUCAUAUUUUGCACGUAGGUUAUCUUGAUACUACUCCACUAAUCUGUGACGAUUAACCCAAAAUACUCAUGGGAGGAGUAAUAGGAAUAGGAACCGAAGGGAAGACGCGCAUAUGAAAUUCAUCCUUCAAAGUUGGAGGAGUGAAAGAAAAGGUUCUCCUUGUGGCUACAACUCACAACUUACAAUUCGGUGGCUACACCCUUUCAUGAACGCGCGGUUCAACCACUCGUGACCCGACCAACUUCGCCCCAAGUGGGAAGGGAACAAUCACUGUAUGAAAGUCGAGUCAAUGCUAUAACAACGAGACGAUCCGCAAAUAAAGAGGAUCUGCAGGAAAUCUGCAAACACGAGCGAAGCAAACGGGCCGCUCCAUUAAUAUUCCCUCGUACGAUCCGAAUAAGGAACGCGCGGUGGACCGAGAGACUCCCCGACCGAAGCUAUAAAAAUUAAUUAGCUCUUAGAAGAAGAGACUGGCUUCUAUAUACCCAUGACUCGUUCACCAAAACUGUGAGACCAUCCUCCUCUAGGAGGAAACGACCUUACUUCGUUAUUCGAAGGAAUAUCCAACGGUUCCUGUCAUGGAUCCUCGAUGAAUGAUCGAUACGAUAUCCCUCGAACGGGCUUCGAUCCGGACCCUUUUCGUUGUUGCAACGUAUAAUUAGUCAUUGAUUCCUCGUGGUUCGUGGAACGAUUCGAUCUUGGAAACAUUUUGUCAAGAUUAUUUUUUACUCGUUUUACAUCGUGUCUAACAGAUGAUUCAUCGUGGUUUCGAAUUUUGAAAGGAGUGAUGAAACGAGUGUUUUUUUUUUAUCAAGAAAAUUUAAAUACACAUGAAACACGUCUAAAUAAGACGUUUAAUUUUAAUAUCGAUUUCCUUGAGAAGAUUUUUUUCCACU